ACCAACAGGGAUUGCCCUAGUAACGGCGAGUGAAGCGGCAACAGCUCAAAUUUGAAAUCUGGCCCUCGGGUCCGAGUUGUAAUUUGUAGAGGAUGCUUUUGGCGCGGUGCCUUCCGAGUUCCCUGGAACGGGACGCCUUAGAGGGUGAGAGCCCCGUACGGUUGGACACCAAGCCUCUGUAAAGCUCCUUCGACGAGUCGAGUAGCUUGGGAAUGCUGCUCUAAAUGGGAGGUAAAUUUCUUCUAAAGCUAAAUAUUGGCCAGAGACCGAUAGCGCACAAGUAGAGUGAUCGAAAGAUGAAAAGCACUUUGAAAAGAGGGUUAAACAGCACGUGAAAUUGUUGAAAGGGAAGCGUUUGCGACCAGACCUUUUCCUAGCGGAUCAUCCGGUGUUCUCACCGGUGCACUUCGCUAGGUUUAGGCCAGCAUCGGUUUCUGUAGGGGGAUAAAAGCUCUGGGAACGUAGCUCCUCCGGGAGUGUUAUAGCCCUCUGCAUAAUACCCUUACGGGGACCGAGGACCGCGCUUCGGCAAGGAUGCUGGCGUAAUGGUCGUCAACGACCCG
rnacentral:rRNA from 1 species